rnacentral:rRNA from 1 species
GAUGAACGCUGGCGGCGUGCCUAACACAUGCAAGUCGAGCGAAAACACGAGGAGCUUGCCUCUCUGACUUUCGCGGCGCGCGCGUGAGUAACAUGUGGAGAACCUUCCUUUAUGACUGGGAUAACUUCCUGAAAACGGUGGCAAUACCGGCAUAUCUUUUCAACCCCAUGGUGCAAUAGCUACAGGCGUCUUUCCUUCCACUUAUCCAUGGUUCCGUGCGGGAUUAGCUAGUAGGUAGGGUAACGGCUUACCAAGGCGACGAUUCGUAGCCGACCUGAGAGGGUGAUCGGCCACACUGGAACUGAGACACGGUCCAGACUCCUACGGGAGGCAGCAGUGGGGAAUAUUGCGCAAUGGGCGAAAGCCUGAUGGAGCAACGCCGCGUGAGCGAUGAAGGUCUUCGGGUUGUAAAGCUCUGUUAGUGGGGAAGAAGAAAUGUGAAUGAAAACAUGCACGUAUUGACGGUACCUGCACAGAAAGCCACGGCUAACUACGUG